rnacentral:misc_RNA from 1 species
GAUGAAGAACGUAGCGAAAUGCGAUAAGUAAUGUGAAUUGCAGAAUUCAGUGAAUCAUCGAAUCUUUGAACGCACAUUGCGCCCCCUGGUAUUCCGGGGGGCAUGCCUGUUCGAGCGUCAUUUCACCACUCAAGCCUCGCUUGGUAUUGGGCAACGCGGUCCGCCGCGUGCCUCAAAUCGACCGGCUGGGUCUUCUGUCCCCUAAGCGUUGUGGAAACUAUUCGCUAAAGGGUGCUCGGGAGGCUACGCCGUAAAACAAACCCAUUUCUAAGGUUGACCUCGGAUCAGGUAGGGAUACCCGCUGAACUUAAGCAUAUCAAAGCGGAGGA